rnacentral:sRNA from 1 species
UGUUGUGAGAGUGAUAUAAUAAGACCAUCUGUCACCCUUAAUUGCCAGUGGGUUCAGAUGAUCUCCCUUCUUUCCUCACCAGUCCAUGUUUAUUCCUCUCAAAGCUGCAUGCUCUAUGGAAGAACAUGACAAUCCCAAAUAAAGAAACAUACCAUUCUUUAGUCAAGGGAAUCAUACCUGAAAUAAAUAAUGUAACAACUUAAAUCCUGCCACAGACAGUUCUCAGAU